UCUACUUAUGCUUGGGUAGCCUGUGCUUUCUUGUAGUUCUCCUUUUUUCCGGGUCUCUGCUGCUUCCACAUGACCUGCAUUUGGGAAGAGGGAAGAAGCUGCUUGGAACUGCCCAGAAAACAACCCCAAAGGAUGUCAGGGGAGCUGGACAGUAUCCCAGCCCCUUUCCUUGGGUUUCUACCCCUGCAGCCUACAGAAGAGCUCCUGAGGAAGGAGAGGAGGGUCUUGAUAAAAGGCUGAUGGGGAAGCAGGAGGAACCUGGUUGGCUCCCACUCCCUGCUCCUUUCAUGCACUCAGCUGUGUAUGAGAGAGGAGUUUAGGGCAGUCCUGCCUCCUGGCUCAAGGGGCACAGGGUAUCAUCCGACAGGAGUGCGCAGCCCUUAGUGGGUGAUUGGGUUUCUCAGGAUCAGGGAUGAUUAUUCUAUUUAUUUUGCCCCUGUCAAAAAAGGAAACGGGCCGGUUUCUGCCAAGUAAUUUUACACCUAAGUAUUUCCUUCUGUUUGUCUUAAAAACAGCUUAGUAUGGAUGUUACCUCCAGGUCGGGAGGUCACUGGGGGAUUGGGAGAGGCUUUUCUGGGAGCACAGCACACUCCUGGAAGCCUGUUCCUAAUUGUCUGGUGGAGAUGAGGGAAUACGGAGCCAAUCCAAGAAACACAGCAUCAUGGAGUGGGGCUUUGCCCCUUUGACAAGGAUGUGAGAUGUGAUGGAGGAGAGUGUGCAUCACCUGCUGCAGUGAUUCACUUUGUACAACUCACCAAGAAGCCCUGUUCGCCACAAGCAUGUUCAUUGAUCAGCCCUUGCAGGUAAAGGCACUUGCUGACAUCCCCCAUCAAGAGAUCUUCCAGCUCAUGGAAGGGGCUCAUCUCCACUGGGCUUGUCUUGGUCAAGGGUUUUCUACAGGCUUUUAAUUUUCCCUGUGGAUUGAAACUGGAUGUAAAACCUCAGUCCUCUCUGUAAAACCCUGGCCAGGUCCCUCAAACAGCCUGAUGAAGGAGAGCAAGUACAAGAUCCCCCACUCAAACAUAGUCCAGCUUGACAACCCAAUGGU